rnacentral:rRNA from 1 species
CAGCCGCCGCGGUAAUACGAAGGGUGCAAGCGUUACUCGGAAUUACUGGGCGUAAAGCGUGCGUAGGUGGUGGUUUAAGUCCGUUGUGAAAGCCCUGUGCUCAACCUGGGAAUUGCAGUGGAUACUGGGUCACUAGAGUGUGGUAGAGGAUAGUGGAAUUUCCGGUGUAGCAGUGAAAUGCGUAGAGAUCGGAAGGAACAUCUGUGGCGAAGGCGACUAUCUGGGCCAACACUGACACUGAGGCACGAAAGCGUGGGGAGCAAACAGGAUUAGAUACCCCUGUAGUCCCUGUCUCUUAUAC